CGGAGCAUCGCGGAGUCUGUGGGGGCGGGUAAUGAUGCACAAAGGUCUAGUCCAUCAGGACUGGGAGGAGGUGAGAAAAUAGCCCUGGCACUCCUUGUCUGAAGACACUGUGCAUGGUGUCUUUGCCCACAGCAUCCAGCCCUCCUGCGCAAGCAGGCUCCGGGCCAGACGCUCUUGAAAGCAGAUACCAAUUCUUGGGGACUCUCUUUCUGAAAUACCUCUGGCAGUCCUUCUCCCUCGUCUCCAGGAUCUGCCACCACUUUCCCCCCCGGACCUCAACGUCUUGCGGCUGUUCUCACUGAAUUUGUUUCUCCUGCUCUACAGAGUCAUCAGAAAGCCCUUCCUGAAACCACCUGGGACACAUCACUGGAAAGCACCUCUUGGUCCCCAAGUUCAUAAGCCUGGCGUGUAGGCGAGCCUGGCCCACAUAGCCCUCCUCCAUUGAUGCUUGCCUCCAGACAUCUUGCCCUGGAAACCCCAUGCUUUGUUUCGACUCCCAGCCCUCGCUGAGCCUUCCACCUGGCACAGCAUUCUCAGAAAAUAACAUCUCAGUGGCUAAAAGCAGACUCCAAGUAACCUGGGCUUGAAUCCUGGGGCCGUUAUUCCUCAGCCAUGUGACCUUGAACAGGAUCCUUAAGCUCUCUAAGUGUCAUUUCAUCAUGGUUAAUAUAGAAAACAAUAACCAUAAUGCCUAGUUCAUAACUUUGUUGCUAGGAUUAAAUGAGAUCAUCCAAAUAAAGCACUUAGCUCAGCGCCAGGCACAUAGUAAACACUCAGUAAAUGCAAGUAAUGAUGAUGAAUGAACAUCUACCAUGAGUCAGGUCCUUGAAAUGCAAUGAUGCUACAGAGAUGAGCAAAUUGAUUUGCAUUGUUUAUCCCAUCUUUUCAACUACUAUAUGGAAUUAAUUACUCAAUCUCUACCCCACCCCCCGCCGUUUCCCACAGACAGAGCAAUUCAUGAAACAGGCAGUCAGUAUAAAUGCUCGCCGGAAAGAUGAAUGAAUGAAUUCACUAAUGCACGAACUGAAUAUUUUACCCUGUAAUACAGGUGUCCCCCGCUCUCUAAAAGUAGAUCAUUCCUACCAAACCUUGCUAAAUCGAAAUGGCGUAGAGCAAAAAAGCAAUUAAUGUAUAUAGAAAUUUUUUUUAGUGUUCCUAGACCCUGAGAAAAACCUCUCUUGGGCUUUUCUGAUACCUUAGGAUGCAUUUUGCUAACGGAUGCACAAAAUAAAUGGAGAUCAAGCACAGAUGUUCACAGACACAGUUCAAAGCUCUGGCGGUUUGAGACUGGGAUGCUGAGUGUAGUUCCCGGGGAAGGCGCUGGGGGUCGCCUCUCUUCCCGCUCUCGGAGUGCGUGCUGCAUCUAGCUUGGCUCAGGGCUAAGCAAAUGUUGAAUGCUAAUGUCACUUUCUGUCUUUCUUUUUCUUUUUGUAAAAGCAAAAUUCUCUUCUCUUCAGAUUUCUUUUAAGCAGGUACUCAUGUAGGUCUUUUGUAAAAGCAAAGUGGCAUAACAUAAACUUUUGAAAAGCUGGGGAUAACCUGUAUAAUUAUUUAAAAGAAAAAGGCAAAAAAAAUGAUAUUCAAGAAACAUCCAAAAUAAAUGGAAAGGUUGACUUAAUUGCAAAGGCGAGGCAGGGAAAAGAAACACUUUUUCCAACCGAGAACAGUGUAAGGGAAGUCCUUUAACUGUUGGCAUCUGGAGUGAAGGUGAGCGCUGUUCGGCUCUGAGCUCACUCAGUCCCCAUCACGCCUGACUUGAGCUGCCUUCCACAGUCACGGGUCCUGACUCCUUCGAGUAAUGUAGGAAAUGUGCACAGUGUAGCACAGGCUGCAAAGCUCACCCUCAAAAUGGAUCCCAAAUGGUGCUCAGACCGAGUCUGAGGUAGGGAGGUUGAGAAACAUUACCCCGUCUCAUCCAUAAGGGAAUGCUCUAGGUAGGAGUCUAGCAACUUGCCCAAGGUCACCAAGCUCAAGUCACAGAGCCAGGGUGGAAAUUUGAAUCAGGGGCACCUGGGCGGCUCAUUCAGGUCAAGCAUAUACUGCAGGAGCAGACCAGACUAUCGCCACCAGACUAUCCACAGAGGGUACUUCUGGGUAACCAGAAAUAGUCACUGGAGCAUCAUCUCCCCGCAAGUACACUUCUGUUCAUCUCGUCCCAGGAGGCUUACACCCUUGGGAAGCAGGAUGUGCAGAGGAAGGAACUGAGGCUCGGAGGAGGUCUUUUGGCCUCUCUCUCCUUACUCAUUCCCAGGAAGGCUCCCCACCUGCAGGAGAAAGGGAGUUCACAGGCCCUAAUGUAUGGCUCUCAUCACAAUAGAAGUCUCCUUACAUGUCAGAGGAUCCAAACUGUGAUUCUGAAAAGCUGAACUUUUGAUUAAUUGCACAGUAAUGAUGUCUUCUUUCUACGGGGCCCUUGACUAGUCUCCUUUGAUGCUUAUCUGAGUUUGCACCAACUGGUUUCUUCUCAGCCUCCAACUAACUCACGGCUGAGCAUCCCUCUCUUCAUAAACAUUUGUGGGAGGUCCUACUGUGCUGUGUGUGCAGCCGCAUCUCCAUAAGCCAGUUCAUGCGAUCUUCACGAAGUCCAUCCUGCAGCCCACUGUGACCCAUGGAUCAUCUUUCUUAGUCAGGCCUUCUGGUGACUCUUACACACUAGGGAGGGAUCCUUGACUUGGCCUAGCUCACAGCCCCUCCCCUCUGCCCAAGACAAGCCUGGAAAGAGUGGGGACGCACCAGCUUCUCACUUAGGUUUCACCCCAAAAUGUCACCUCCACAAUGAGGCCUUCCAGGACCAGCCACUGCAAAGAAGUUUCCCACUUCUAGCACGGCCGCUGUUUUGUCUCCUCAAAGCAUCGACCCAAAUUGGCAGUUACACU